rnacentral:rRNA from 1 species
CCUACGUGAGGCAGCAGUGGGGAAUAUUGGGCAAUGGAGGAAACUCUGACCCAGCAACGCCGCGUGAAUGAUGAAGGUCUUCGGAUUGUAAAGUUCUUUUCUCAGGGAAGACGAAAGUGACGGUACCUUAGGAAUAAGCCUCGGCUAACUACGUGCCAGCAGCCGCGGUAAUACGUAGGAGGCAAGCGUUAUCCGGAUUUAUUGGGUUUAAAGGGUGCGUAGGCGGAUUGUUAAGUCAGCGGUAAAAACCCGGGGCUCAACCCCGGCGAGCCGUUGAAACUGGCUGUCUUGAGAUGUCGAGAGGUAUGCGGAAUGCGCAGUGUAGCGGUGAAAUGCUUAGAUAUUGCGCAGAACUCCGAUUGCGAAGGCAGCAUACCGGCGGCGAUCUGACGCUGAGGCACGAAAGCGUGGGUAUCGAACAGGAUUAGAUACCCUUGUAGUC